ACUGCUGCAUUAUGGCGGAUAACUGACUCAACUGAUGUGCCUGCUGGGCCAACUGCUGUGACUGGAGCGCCACGAUGGAAGCGAGAUCUGGACUAUUAGGCAGAGGAACCCCAGCGGGAUCCAUGGCCGGAUCUUGCAGUAACGAAGCAGGAUGUGGAUCCUCUAACCUGUGUGGCUGAUGACUGGGACCGUAUCGGGGAGCGAAAUCUAAGGUUGCGCUGGUCUUCACCAGAGCCCACUGCAAGGCAGGAUGGCCUUGCUGCGGCAGGCGACACAAAGGUCGCUACCCCCAACACAGCUCGACCACACAGGUAGCUGGGCUAGGCGAGGUACAGAAGGAUAAGGCAGUAGUGUAGUCAAACAUAGCAGAUGGUCAAGGCAGCCGGCAAAGGUGCGAAGUCAAAUAACGUAGCGGAAGGUCUGGAUACAUGGAACUCUGGCACGCGCGCUCCCUAGGAAACAGGGCCAUGCGUGCCGAAGCUGAGACACAGAGGAGGAAGCGGCAGCGGAGCAUGGGACAGUGUGGACCCUCUGGAGAAGGCAGACAGACUCAUA